GUGAAUCAUCGAAUCUUUGAACGCAAAUUGCACUUCCUGGCAUCCCGAGGAGUAUGCCUGUUUGAGGGUCGUUAGAAAAAAAAUCGAAGUGUCGUUCUUUUUUUUAAGGGUGACGGCGCCGGAAUUGAGUCGCUUUCCUUCUGUUAAUUCACGUAAAAUUUGGCUUAAAUUUAUCACUUAGGUACGUUUAAUGCGUACUUAUGAUCAAUCUUGAACAUUA
rnacentral:misc_RNA from 1 species